rnacentral:rRNA from 1 species
UACAUGUGGGGCAAGCGUUGUUCGGAAUUACUGGGCAUAAAGGGUGCGUAGGCGGCUUGAUAAGUCAGUGGUGAAAUCGUCCGGCCCAACCGGACACGUGCCAAUGAUACUGUCGAGCUUGAGUGCGUGAGGGGUGGGGGGAACGAGCAGUGUAGCGGUGAAAUGCGUAGAUAUCAGGAGGAACACCGGUGGUGUAGACGGCUUUCUGGACCGUAACUGACGCUGAGACACGAAAGCGUGGGUAGCAAACAGG